GCUAAGUUAAAACAAUACAAAAUUUAACUGAAUAAGUUAUAUUAUAUUAAUAAGUUUGAUUGAACAAAAAUAACUAACAAAUUAAGUUAUUAUACCUACCUAAAUAUUAAUAUUUUAUAAUAUAUAGAUUUCCACUUAAUAAUCCUGAAUUACUUAAAAAAUGGUUGAUUGAAGUUAAAAGGAAGAAUUUUAUACCUACAAUGUAUAGCACUUUAUGUAGUGAACAACUAUUUAUAAACAAAAAUGUCCAUUGUAAAUCUCAAAAUCCCUGCUUGAUCACUUUCCAUAUCGUUAUAUCUUAUAUUAUAAUCAUGGUAAUACAAUAAGGUAAUGAAUAAUUACUACUACAUUUAAUUUGUUAAAGAAAUAAGAAAAUAAAUUAAGAAUUAUGAACGAAAAUAAUCAUAACUACACGUAUAUCGUAUGUAAAAAUGAAAUGUUUUGCCCUUCGAUGGUGGGGGAAGCGGGAUUCGAGACGGCUCGUUUUUUGUAUCAUUGCGGGAAUGGCGAGUGCGCGCUCCAGUAUAUCUUAUCUAUCUCAGUGUCCAGUUCACAUUACUGAUAGACUCUGUUUGUUAUAUACUUUUUCAAAAACCUCAUUUCUUUUGAUGUAAAGUAUUACAGUUACUAUACUUUUAUUCGUAUUAUAGUGAUUUGAUAUAAUAUAUUGAUAACAGCCUAACAUAAUGAUAGUGGUGAAUAAAUUACGCGCAUGCGCAGAAUGCGUGAGGUAUAUUCUUGUGUUUAGACGCUGACCUGUGGUGAGCGUUCCAGUUAUCAUAUAGUUCAAUAUAAUAUUGAUACAAUAAUUGUGGUGCAUAGAUAAUAAAGAUAUCUUUAUUAUCUAUGUUGUGGUGAUAGACUGAUUACUGAUAAUGAUAAUAACGGAUAAAUAUUAUUAUUUUAAAUAAACACAAACACUAGAAAUAAACAAUAUAAUAAAAUAAAAAUCUCAUUGCCAUUCAUCAGUAAAAAUUAUGAACUGUCAAAAUGAACACUAUAUUUGUCAUUUUGUCGACUGGUAGUCGUCACCAGCGACCAGGUCAAUGUUAAUGAUGCGGACCGUUGCUUUGAACAUAUUAAAAAUCAAUAGUAAAGAAUAGCAGACGGAUACACAAUCCUAACAGCAGUAAAUAAGAAAACGAGAAAAUAACCCAUCGCCCAGUACCUAUCCAUCAAAAACUACACCAGCCAUAAAACAAGGAAAUCCAACACACUGGAAAUGAGGAAGGAGUAAUAAACACAAAAUUAUUUAAAUAUUAUUAUUUUAUAAAAAUAUUCUUUUGAAAAAAAAAACCGUAAGAUAAGCCCUUACAUUUUAUAAUAUUAUCUAAUACUUAAUAUGUUUAUAUGAGCUUUUAAAAAAAAAAAAAAAAUUGAAAUGACACCCCUGAUUUAUGUAUAUUGAUGUUUGUAGCUUGUCCUGCAGUAUUUGAGUUUGCUUGAAUAACUGAAUGGAAUUUCCUUCAUUGAUUGGAUAAAUAAAAAGUAUUUUAAAAGUAUAUAUUUAUUGAAAUCUAUAAUUUACAAUGUAUAGUUGAUCAAAUGAUGAGCCACAUGAUCGAUCCAAGAUUGGGAAUCGGAAAAAGUAAUGUGGCAUGUUUUGCAUGUCUAUUGAUCACAUCGAACCACUUUUCUAGAACAAAUAUUUUAAUAUUCUAUUAAUAUUAGAUAAAAAAAUUUCUAUCAUAUAUUAUUAAAAUUCUAAUUUGGUGAGAAGAGUUAUAAGAUUCUUAAAAAAUGUGUAAUAUGUGUUUUAAUGAAUAGUAUAAUAAAUAAAAAAAAAGUCGGCAAGUGGGUACUGCUCUGCUGUACAUUACGGAGUGGCCGGUGGGAUGGACCUCAAACUAGGGUAGGUUAAAUUUGAAUGCAAUGUUAGGUAUCAUUGUAUACGAAAAACGAUUCUGAACGGAGAUGAUUUGUCAGUCUAGAAUAUUUAACGUUAGAUAUAAAUAUAAACAAUUUUAUAAAUUUUGAACUACAAAAUAAUUUGCAAAUAUUCAUAAUUUUGACGAGUUUUUGUCAAAAUUUGAACUUCAAAUGCUAAUAAAAAAAAAUUGUGCCUAUGUAUUCUUAUAAUUUUUUUAUCGCUAUAAGAAUAACUUAUGAGGAACUUUGUAUUAAUUUUUCAAAUAUUUUGCCAAAAAAAUUUUAUUGACACUCCAAAAAAAAAAAUUCUUAAGAAAAUUGAAAAUUUCAUUUGUCUAUAAAUAGCUUAAAAAAAGUCAAAAUAUUUUGAAAAUCAAAUCACGUAAAGAAAAUGACAAUCUAAAUAACUGGUAAAAUGUUUAAGAAUUUACGACUUAUACUAUUUGAAUAACGAUGCUAUCAAUAUGAAAAAGCUGAAACAGCUUGUACAAAAUAAUAGUACAGUCAAAUGUAUAGUUGAAGAUAUUUUAACAAAUAUUUCUUGUCCAAAUAGAAAAAAAAAACAAAGAUAAAUUUAUGUUGGUAAAUGAAAAAAAUGAAAGGUGCAAAACCAUUACAUUUUACUAUGAACUAUGAAGUCAUGUUAGGUAAAGUAGAUGUCAAUUUAGAUAUAAUAGUAUACAACGCCUACCUUAUUGAAUUGAUUUAAAUAAGCACGAUACACCAAUAACGAGUGUAGACGUAUAUUAUAUAACUUAGUUUUUCUUUUUACAAACAUAUUAUAAGUAAAAAAAAUAGAAGAUUUAAUUAUUUAAUUUAAAUUAUACAUCAUAAACCUAGGCUUUUCCGAACCAAAAAUGUAUACCUACUCUGAAGCCAAAAUACUAACAGUAAAGCUGGUUUCACACGGAGUGGUUUAGCCGCGUGCGGUCGCGGAUUUUAUCCGCGAUGGAUUUUCUUUAAAAAUUAAACACCUAUAUUUAAAUGGGUACAUUCAAACGAAGAAAAAUGGCUAGCGGACGACCGCCUCGAAUCGUGCUUGCUCAAAUUUUGGGCGGUCGACCGCGUCCGCCAGCUAAAAUUAAACUGUGGAUUUCCAAUAGCCAUAUUCACACGAAGCGGUUCGCCCGUCAACGGCCGCGGACUUAUAGCGGUUUUUUUAUUCAUAACAGCAUUUAUUAUCCGCCUCGUGUGUAAGCAAACAGCGGAUGUGAUAGCGGUCGAAAUCCGCACGCGAUCGCGGUUCCUAUCCGCAUCAGCGACCGCGACUGCUUCCAAACUUAACUUAUACACGAAGUGGAUUGGCCGAGCGCGGAUUUCGACCGCUACCACGUCCGCGUCCGCAUCUCUGUACAUGAUUUAUUUUUGGGUUAUUUAGGUUAUCAAAACAUAAACCAUAAACAUAUUUUUGCCUUCCAAUUUAAAAUAUAAUAUACUCAAAUUAUUUCUGUUCAGAAUCGUUUUUUGUAUAUAAUAUUAAUAAUAAUUAGACGUGAGUCUCAAAAAAAAAAAAAAAAUAUAUAAAUAAAUAAAAUAAUAAUAAUAAUACAUAAGAGUAUGUAUCUUAAUAUAAUAUCUAUUUAAAGUGUUAUGAUUGCCUAUAAUAGUUAUAAUCUAAUGGUUCUAAAAAAAAAAAAUAGCUUGUUAAUAAUUAAAUAUAAUAUAAAUGAUGGAUAAAAGAAAAAUGAUACCUAUCAUUGGAUUCAAAUUGAAUACAUCCAUUAUAUGGUGAUCCACUAUACAGCAAGAAUACGUAAAACAGCAAAAAUAGAUUCAUAGCUUAAAUAGAUAAUAUCUUAAAAUCGAUUUUAUCAAAAAUUGAAUUUGUGUGAAAAUUCCAGUUUUUCCUUAUUUUAUUAUUUGCCAAGGUAAAAAAAAAGUUCUAAGAAUUUUUAGUUAAGAUCUGUCUAUAAACUAGAUCCAAUUUGCUCCUAAUAGCUCCGCUCAGAAUCCAAAAUAAAAAUAAAAAAUAUUGAUUAGAACAAAAGUAUUAUUUAAUUUGUCAAAUCUUUCUAUUACACCUGCAAGCUCGCGCACAGAAUAUCUUUAUGAAAAAAAAUUGAUUUUAAUAUUAGGUAAAUUAUUUAUAUUAAAUUUUAAAUUGUAAAGUAUAUGAAAAGCGUUUAUUUAUUAUAGCUUUCCAAGAGUCUUGUAGAAGUAAACUUCCUUUUAAUUUCAUAAAAUCAAUUACUGUUAUUGACCUUGACCUAAAUUGUCAACUCACCUUGAUUGUGAUUUCAGUUGAAUUUACGAUGUUGUUUACAGCCUAGACCAUAAUCGCAAAAAAUUAUUUUUAGGAGUUUUAACAACCUACAAGUGCAAAUAUAAUAUUUUAUUAAAAUAAUAAUAGUCGUCAGGUAUUAUUAAGCUGACGCAUAUGUACAUCAUUCAAUUAAUAUUAAACAUAUUAUUAUAUUAAAUUAAACAUAUUUCAUAUACCUACGUGUUUUACAUAUUAAUAAAUAAUACAUAGUUUUUUUUAUAUAGGUAUAGCUAUUAAAUAGCAAAUAAUAAUUUAUAGAAAAUAUAGGUAAAUGUUUAAAAUAAUACAAAAUGUUUGAUUUUUAUUAUUUGCCUGACUUGAAAUAGGCAUUUAGUUAAAUGCCUAGUCAUUUUAUUAAAUUACUAGGCAUUUGACUAAAUCUUUAGGUGAAUAGUGAAAUUGCAUAAAAAUUAAAUUCUUUGUCUAUAUUAGUAAAAUGCCUGAUUUGACUAUAUGCCUACGACAUAGACACCAACUACCAACUGAUAUAGAGGUGAAUAACUUCUGGUAUGAUUACGAUUUAAAAUACUUCACUCGAUUUUCAAACAUUGUUCAUUUAAAAAUAAAAACGACUAAUGAUAAAGUCAUAUCACAAUCUAUUUAUUUUAAAGGUACAGUUAUCAAAAAUCUCAUCUAAUGUAAGUUUAUAAUGUAUAAUAAUAAUUAUCUUAAAUGAUUAUCAACUGUUGCUCCGUUGUAAUUUGUUAAUCUAAAUACGAUACAAUAAUAAAUUAAUACUUCAAUAAUGAACUCGAUCAUUAUUAUUUUUAAAAUAUAAAAUACUAUUUACCAAUAUGAAAACGAAUUAUAAAGAGCGUCAAAUUUUCAAUUGAAACUUAUAUAGUGCAACGGGUACCUACAAUAAAAUUUAUUUUUGAACUUUAGGGUUACCAAUAAAAAUAGACGAUUUGCGUUUUUGGUAUUCCUAAAAGAAUUUUGAAAUUUUUUAUGUAUGCAAAAUUUGAUUAAUGAAAUUAAUUUUUUAGAAAAUAAUGGAGUAAAUAUAAUUUCUUCACAAGUAAUUAUCUUGUACAUUUUAUCCUAAGACUAGUACUUGGAGACAAUUUAGGUUUAACAGUAUACUAGAAUUUAGCAAAUCUUUUUCAGCCAAUUUCUUUUGUCGUUUUUUAACGCAGAUAUAUACUGUAAAUAAUAAGUUUUAUUAUUUAAAAUUUUGUAUUUUUUUUUCAAAUUGUAUUAUUUUAGUACCUACUUAUUUGUAAUGGAACACAUCAAUAAUAUUUUGAACUCAGAUAUUUAUGGACAUUCUUCAUCUAAUUUUGUAAGUUUUAAGUUUAUUUAUCAAUACAAUAAAUGUAUUUGUUAGUGUGUCUGUUAUUAUCUAAAAUUAAUUUAUACAUGAUGAAUAUUACAUUAAUUAAUAAUACAUAUGAAAUAUUACAAUCAUCUGGAAAAGGAUCUCUUAUAAUUGAUUAUAACAAAAAAAAUAAAUAAAUAAACUCAAUGAUGAGAUCAGAACAACAUUAGUAGACUUGAUUAUUAUUAGUCAUAUGGUAACAAUACAUAUACCAAUGUCAAUUGGUUUAGCAAAAUCCUUGUCCAAACAAAUAGUAGCCAUGUUCAAAACAGAAAUUGAGGACACAUAUUUCAUGAAAAUUGGUAACAAUAGAAAUCCCAAUGGAAAAUCAUAUACAAAAUAUUUCAAUUCUGUGAGGAAUUCAAAAAUAAAUGGGUUAAUAGAAAGUGCAUUAACAAUCAGUAAAUCUAAAACAAAUGAUUGUACAUUUGACAAAUGUAGUUGGGCACAAUAAGACUUUGCGCAAGAAAAAGAUAUCGAAUGUGUUUUAGAUGAAUUAAAACAUGAUUCAACUUCAUUUCCAAAUUUAGAAAGAAACUGGAAAGCUACAAUUAAUUAUAGACUAAAUUAUAAUAAAAAUUACUCGUCCACCAAUGAGAUAUUAAAAAUGUGGAAAUAAUAUUUAAUACCAUAUGGACAUAAACUAGUAAGAGAUCAAUAAUUAUCAUAACAACUUAAAAGUAUUAUUUUUAUGCCUAGGUACUUAAUAUUUUAGAACACCAUCAUAUUGUACUUAACCCAUUAUACAAGUGUUUUAUAUUAUUUUGUGAUAGUGAUGUUCCUUUUAAAUACAUUAUAAGUAUUUGAAAGUAUUUAUAAAAGAUUUUUUGAAAUUGAAUCAAGUAUACCCAACAGAUUAAAAUCAUUAUAAAAAUAC